GGGCACACCAUCAGGAUGUUAGUACAUCCUGAUGCACCCUGAAGGGAGGUCUGCACUGUGACUUUUGUGGGGAUGCCCUGUAAGCACAACAUCGUGCAACCUCCAGCUUCCUUGGACACGAAAUCCACUCUGCUGUGUUCGGCAUCGCCUCUUCUCUCUGGGAGCUGGACCGAUGAUGCCAGGGUAUAAGUUACUGAAGUUCAUUUCUGCUCAUAAAAGGACCUUUACUCCAUACUUCGUUCCUUGCACACACAGGACAAAUCUCCAAAAAAACUGUAGCUGGCGGGUUCAUCUAUGCAUUGCUCAAGUAAGUAACAGUUUAUCUCUUUGGUUGCCCACGUUGUUUUCCUGCAUUUGGAAGGUAGGUUGUUGGGA
rnacentral:lncRNA from 1 species